GGGCUCAAGGGUGCAGACUUGCAUCCUUACCAAUGGACCUGAUUGGUUUUGGUUAUGCAGCCCUUGUGACAACUGGAAGUGUUUUAGGAUAUAAGCGAAGAGGUGGAGUUCCUUCUCUGAUUGCUGGGCUUUCUGUUGGACUUUUGGCUGGCUACGGAGCCUACCGUGUCUCCAAUGACAAACGGGAUGUCAAAGUGUCAUUGUUUACAGCUUUCUUCCUGGCCACCAUAAUGGGUGUGAGAUUUAAGAGGUCCAAAAAAGUAAUGCCUGCUGGUCUAGUUGCAGGCUUAAGCCUCAUGAUGAUCCUGAGACUUGCCCUGCUGCUGCUUUAGCAUCUAGAGAAGCUGAGAGCCAAACUCCCAGCAUGCUGCUGUGCCUGGCC